UACAGAGGUGGCAAGCGUUUGUUCGGAAUUACUGGGCGUAAAGAGCGCGCAGGCGGUCAGAUAAGUCGAAUGUGAAAGCCCCCCGGCUCAACUGGGGAGGGUCAUUCGAUACUGUUCGACUCGAAGGCAGGAGAGGGAAGUGGAAUUCCCGGUGUAGUGGUGAAAUGCGUAGAUAUCGGGAGGAACACCAGUGGCGAAGGCGACUUCCUGGCCUGUUCUUGACGCUGAGGCGCGAAAGCUAGGGGAGCAAACGGG
rnacentral:rRNA from 1 species